rnacentral:rRNA from 1 species
AGUGAACGCUGGCGGUAGGCCUAACACAUGCAAGUCGAACGGCAGCACAGUAAGAGCUUGCUCUUACGGGUGGCGAGUGGCGGACGGGUGAGGAAUACAUCGGAAUCUACUUUUUCGUGGGGGAUAACGAAGGGAAACUUACGCUAAUACCGCAUACGACCUACGGGUGAAAGCAGGGGAUCUUCGGACCUUGCGCGAUUGAAUGAGCCGAUGUCGGAUUAGCUAGUUGGCGGGGUAAAGGCCCACCAAGGCGACGAUCCGUAGCUGGUCUGAGAGGAUGAUCAGCCACACUGGAACUGAGACACGGUCCAGACUCCUACGGGAGGCAGCAGUGGGGAAUAUUGGACAAAGGGCGCAAGCCUGAUCCAGCCAUACCGCGUGUGUGAAGAAGGCCUUCGGGUUGUAAAGCCCUUUUGUUGGGAAAGAAAAGCAGCAGGUUAAUACCCCGCUGUUCUGACGGUACCCAAAGAAUAAGCACCGGCUAACUUCGUG